rnacentral:rRNA from 1 species
UACGGGGGGAGCAAGCGUUGUUCGGAUUUACUGGGCGUAAAGGGCGCGUAGGCGGCGCAACAAGUCACUUGUGAAAUCUCCGGGCUUAACCCGGAGCGGUCAAGUGAUACUGUCGUGCUAGAGUGCGGAAGGGGCUACUGGAAUUCUCGGUGUAGCGGUGAAAUGCGUAGAUAUCGAGAGGAAACACCCUGCGGCGAAGGCGGGGUAGCUGGGCCGACACUGACGCUGAUGCGCGAAAGCCAGGGGAGCAAACGGG